UUGUGCUUUACGGAAACGUGGCUGCAUCUAGAUAUUCCCAACCACAGCAUCUCCAAUGACGGCUUCCAGACUGUCUGGGCAGACCUGGGGAGACUCAAUGUAUUCUCCAUAAAAGUUAGUGUCCGCUGUCAAGUGGUCUGUACCCACCCGAGGGAUGUGUUUCGGUUAGCAGAAGGCGCAGGCCUGCACUUGCACUGAUUCAUUAGAUGUCUGUACACCGGGUCUUACCAGGAGGUAAUGAGGUACUGGGCCAGAUUGAUGCUGACUGGUGUUCCUGUGAUGGUGACAUGACGGUCACUUGUCCCGUCCAGCUGGCUGCCGAUCUUUAUCUGAGCUCCGGACACCUGCCUGAUCUCGUUGAUCUUAGUGCCCUGCCGGCCGAUGAUCGAGCCGAUCAGCUGCAGGAGGAAAAAAAAAAGGAGACAAAAGGAAAGAGAAGAACCAUCACAGAAUACAAAGUCAAUGGACAGCAAUGAAUUGUUUUUCUCUCUGGAUGUGGCAGGUGUGUAAUUGUUUUUCAUUCUCUAUUGAUAGGACUGCUAGAUCUGAUCAAGAUAUUCAUGUUUCCCACAAGAUGGAUUGCGACACCUUUGCUUGUCCAUCACCUUUUCUUUCAAUACCACCCACAGGUCAAAGUGUGAGUGAAUUCAGGUUUGUUUAAUCACUGCAGAACUACAGCAAAGACAGAAAAUAACCGCUUAGUGAGAUCUGCUGUCUGACCUUGUCAGAGGAUUAAAGUUUUUGAAUGUCAAACAAGAAAUGACAUUCUCAUCAAUCUCACAAGCUUGCAGAGCUGCUACCAUGGAUACCAACUCCUGAUUUUGUUAUGUAAUGCCCUCUAACCCCUUC